AUCUGUGCGCGACACAGAGCUCAAUGAAGCAAAGUUGAGUGAAUGUUGAGCUUGUUGAUGUAGUUAUUAUGAGUGCCAUUCACCGGGCGCUAAAGAAGCACUUCGGAUUCGACAGGUUUCGCUCUCAGCAGCAGGAAGAUGCCGUGAAAGCAGUGCUGAAGGGUGACAAAGAUGUGUUUGUAUGUAUGCCCACUGGAGCAGGCAAGUCUCUGGUCUAUCAGCUCCCUGCUCUUCUGUCCAGCGGCAUCACUCUGGUCAUUUCUCCUCUCAUCGCGCUCAUACAGGAUCAAGUGGAGCACCUGAAAGCUCUCAAUGUUCCCGCGCGAUCCAUCAACUCCAAGCUUCCCUCGGCUGAGCGCCGGCAGAUCCUGGCGGAUCUGGAGAGCGAGAGUCCUCGGCUCAAGCUGCUCUACAUCACUCCCGAGAUGGUGGCGUCUCCGUCCUUCCAGCCCUGCUUGAGCUCGCUGUGCUCGCGCGGCCUCCUGGCGUAUCUGGCGGUGGACGAAGCUCACUGCGUCUCCCAGUGGGGGCACGACUUCCGCCCGGACUACCUGAAGCUGGGCGACCUGCGCUCGCGUCUGCGGGACGUUCCCUGCGUAGCGCUCACAGCCACGGCGCCCAAGAGAGUGCAGGAAGACAUCGAGCGCUCGCUCAAACUGCGCUCGCCACUCCUCUUUGCCACGCCAGUUUUCCGGAAGAACCUGAAGUAUGACGUGAUCUUCCGGGAUCUGCUGCCUGAACCUUACGUCCACUUGCUUGCGUUUGCUAAAGAGGCGCUGGGCGGAAAUACUGCCGAAAAGGGAUGUGGGAUUGUUUACUGUCGAACCCGAGAGAGUUGUGAGGAAGUGGCUCAUAAGUUGACUAAAUUGGGAAUUUCAGCCAAGCCCUACCAUGCAGGGCUGAAGGCGGGCGAUCGCACGGAGAGUCAGGCUGACUGGAUGGCUGAUAAAGUGCCUGUUAUUGUGGCCACCAUCAGUUUCGGUAUGGGAGUGGACAAGGCCAAUGUCAGGUUUGUCGUUCACUGGAAUGUGGCGAAAUCUUUGGCCAGUUACUAUCAGGAGUCGGGGCGAGCUGGCCGUGACGGACUGCCGUCGUCCUGCAGGAUUUACUACUCCCCCAAAGACAGGGACCAGCUCGGCUUCCUCAUCCGCAAGGAAAUCACGCGCAAACAGGUCAGGAACGGCACCCGAUCCGGAUGUCUUCAUACUUCUGAGCAGUUACAGGUAGACAUUCAUUGUGUCUGAAUUCAGGAGAAGCGAGGGUCGCAGAGAGAGCAGGACAAGGCGCCCGUUCAGGACUUCGAGGCGAUGGUUGCUUUUUGUGAGCAAGAAGGGUGCAGACACGCCACUAUCUCUCAGUUUUUUGGCAAUCAGAAGCCCAACUGCGCUGGGUCAUGUGA